ensembl:snRNA U4 U4 spliceosomal RNA
GCUUUUGCACAGUAGCAGUAUCAUAACCAAUGAGGUUUAUUCUAAGCAUGGUUAUUGCUAAUUGAAAACUUUCUGCAGAAACGAACAGUCUUUAGAAACAUCUAUAACAAUCUGAUG